rnacentral:tRNA from 1 species
GGUGGCUCAUUGGUAGAGCACUUGCCUUGCAUGCAUUAGGCCCUGGGUUCGAUUCCUCAGCACCA